UACGGAGGGAGCUAGCGUUGUUCGGAAUUACUGGGCGUAAAGCGCACGUAGGCGGCUUCGUAAGUUAGAGGUGAAAGCCCGGAGCUCAACUCCGGAACUGCCUUUAAGACUGCAUCGCUUGAAUCCAGGAGAGGUGAGUGGAAUUCCGAGUGUAGAGGUGAAAUUCGUAGAUAUUCGGAAGAACACCAGUGGCGAAGGCGGCUCACUGGACUGGUAUUGACGCUGAGGUGCGAAAGCGUGGGGAGCAAACAGG
rnacentral:rRNA from 1 species